UACGUAGGGGUCUAGCGUUGUCCGGAAUCAUUGGGCGUAAAGCGCACGUAGGCGGCUUGGCAAGUCGGAUGUGAAAUCCCUCGGCUCAACCAAGGAAGUGCAUCCGAAACUGCUGAGCUUGAGUACUUAAGAGGAUCGCGGAAUUCCCGGUGUAGAGGUGAAAUUCGUAGAUAUCGGGAGGAACACCAGUGGCGAAGGCGGCGAUCUGGGAAGAUACUGACGCUGAGGUGCGAAAGCGUGGGGAGCAAACAGG
rnacentral:rRNA from 1 species